AUUGAACGCUGGCGGCAUGCUUUACACAUGCAAGUCGAACGGUAACAGGCCGCAAGGUGCUGACGAGUGGCGAACGGGUGAGUAAUGCAUCGGAACGUGCCCAGUCGUGGGGGAUAACGCAGCGAAAGCUGCGCUAAUACCGCAUACGAUCUAUGGAUGAAAGCGGGGGACCGUAAGGCCUCGCGCGAUUGGAGCGGCCGAUGUCAGACUAGGUAGUUGGUGGGGUAAAGGCUCACCAAGCCAACGAUCUGUAGCUGGUCUGAGAGGACGACCAGCCACACUGGGACUGAGACACGGCCCAGACUCCUACGGGAGGCAGCAGUGGGGAAUUUUGGACAAUGGGCGCAAGCCUGAUCCAGCAAUGCCGCGUGCAGGAAGAAGGCCUUCGGGUUGUAAACUGCUUUUGUACGGAACGAAACGGUCCUGGUUAAUACCCGGGGCUAAUGACGGUACCGUAAGAAUAAGCACCGGCUAACUACGUGCCAGCAGCCGCGGUAAGAC
rnacentral:rRNA from 1 species